rnacentral:rRNA from 1 species
CCUACGGGAGGCUGCAGUAGGGAAUCUUCGGCAAUGGACGAAAGUCUGACCGAGCAACGCCGCGUGAGUGAAGAAGGUUUUCGGAUCGUAAAACUCUGUUGUUAGAGAAGAACAAGGAUGAGAGUAACUGUUCAUCCCUUGACGGUAUCUAACCAGAAAGCCACGGCUAACUACGUGCCAGCAGCCGCGGUAAUACGUAGGUGGCAAGCGUUGUCCGGAUUUAUUGGGCGUAAAGCGAGCGCAGGCGGUUUCUUAAGUCUGAUGUGAAAGCCCCCGGCUCAACCGGGGAGGGUCAUUGGAAACUGGGAGACUUGAGUGCAGAAGAGGAGAGUGGAAUUCCAUGUGUAGCGGUGAAAUGCGUAGAUAUAUGGAGGAACACCAGUGGCGAAGGCGGCUCUCUGGUCUGUAACUGACGCUGAGGCUCGAAAGCGUGGGGAGCAAACAGGAUUAGAUACCCCAGUAGUC